UAUAGACAUUAGGUAACAGUCAGAAAGAAUACGAUUUAAAGAUAUAUUUUUGUACUGAUGACAACGGAUUUGUUUAGCUGUUCUGCUGCAUAUUAUUUGCAUUUUAGACACUGAACCACCGCAAACAAACAAGAUGAAUCCCAUGCACAUGCUCUGGUCACUCUUACGUUUUUUUCUUAGCGCCAACCGUUCUUUGGAUAGGAAAGUUUCGGUACCGUCAGCAGAACGAAGGCGUGUGGCUUGUUUUAGUGCAGCAGGACAGUCAGAUGUCAUGAUCCCGUUAUCUUGAUCAGGGACUCUGGGAAACUGCCACAAGGAAAUACAAGAGUUGAAUCUGUAUCUCCACUGGUGGUGCUGUUGGAAGGGGAACUUCUUACAGAACCCGAACCCAAAGAUUGAGUCACCGUGGAUGCUCUGUGUUCUGCUGGCGAGCUACAAAGCUGACCGAGGUUGUUC